GGUAUUUUCACCAUUAAAAUAGAAUACGUCGUCGUACAAGACUUGAGUAACACCAGCGAGCAAAGACAAAGGGCUUGUCACCAUUUUAGAAUUGAAGAGAGAAAGAAAGAGAAAGAAUGGGUUACGUAUUGAGAGUGAGAUUGGCUUCAUUCUUUGCAGGAGCAGCAACAGCAUCAUUUGCAGGAAUCUAUCUCCUUUACAAAGAUUUCCAGGUUGCCCAUGAUGCCAUCUCUCAACAGGUGGAAAGUGCUCAUGAAUCACUUGAUAGACGGAUCUCUGCAUUGGAAAAAUUGAAACAAAGUGAAGCUCCACAGCCUCUGCAAGCAACAGAAUAGGAGACUCAAGACAUUCUACUGUAGGUUGAUGUUGUGGCUUCAGACAUGUUUUUCUGAUAAUGCUGUUGGUUUCUAUAUGGAUUUUGUCUCCUUGUUAAAGAAUAAUCAUGAGUCCUAACUCUGUUUGGUAAUACUCAAUCAGUUUAAAGAGUCUUCCUGAAGAGGCAAGAUUGCGAUCUCUAUUGGAUGAUUGGCAAUGUAUGAUUAUUCAAAUUUUAUGUGGUUGAUAUUAUUAUGUAAGAUGUUGCAAAAGUAUUUAUACAGCAUGUCUUAAAA